rnacentral:rRNA from 1 species
GACGAACGUUGGCGGCGUGCCUAAUACAUGCAAGUCAACUGAAAUACCGGUAGCAAUACUGGUAUGGAGGUGGCGCACGGGUGAGUAACACGUAGGUAAUCUGCCUUCAGGUCUGACAUAACCCAUCGAAAGGUGAGCUAAUAUCAGAUGAUGCAGCGGCUUGACAUCAAGACAGUUGUUAAAGCUUCGGCGCCUGAAGAUGAGCCUGCGUCUGAUUAGCUAGUUGGCGGGGUAACGGCCCACCAAGGCUGCGAUCAGUAGCUGGUCUGAGAGGAUGAUCAGUCACACUGGAACUGAGACACGGUCCAGACUCCUACGGGAGGCAGCAGUAAGGAAUAUUGCUCAAU